AACGAACGCUGGCGGCAGGCUUAACACAUGCAAGUCGAGCGCCCCGCAAGGGGAGCGGCAGCCGGGUGAGUAACGCGUGGGAAUCUACCCAUCCCUACGGAACAACUCCGGGAAACUGGAGCUAAUACCGUAUACGCCCUUCGAGGGCAAGAUUUAUCGGGGAUGGAUGAGCCCGCGUUGGAUUAGCUAGAUGGUGGGGUAAUGGCCUACCAAGGCGACGAUCCAUAGCUGGUAUGAGAGGAUGACCAGCCACACUGGGACUGAGACACGGCCCAGACUCCUACGGGAGGCAGCAGUGGGGAAUAUUGGACAAUGGGCGAAAGCCUGAUCCAGCCAUGCCGCGUGAGUGAUGAAGGCCCUAGGGUUGUAAAGCUCUUUCACCGGUGAAGAUAAUGACGGUAACCGGAGAAGAAGCCCCGGCUAACUUCGUGCCAGCCGCCGCAGUAAGAC
rnacentral:rRNA from 1 species